AUUGAACGCUGGCGGCAUGCCUUACACAUGCAAGUCGAACGGUAACAGGUCUUCGGAUGCUGACGAGUGGCGAACGGGUGAGUAAUACAUCGGAACGUGCCCGAUCGUGGGGGAUAACGAAGCGAAAGCUUUGCUAAUACCGCAUAAGAUCUACGGGUGAAAGCAGGGGACCGCAAGGCCUUGCGCGAACGGAGCGGCCGAUGGCAGAUUAGGUAGUUGGUGGGAUAAAAGCUUACCAAGCCGACGAUCUGUAGCUGGUCUGAGAGGACGACCAGCCACACUGGGACUGAGACACGGCCCAGACUCCUACGGGAGGCAGCAGUGGGGAAUUUUGGACAAUGGGCGCAAGCCUGAUCCAGCCAUGCCGCGUGCAGGAUGAAGGCCUUCGGGUUGUAAACUGCUUUUGUACGGAACGAAAAGGUCUUUUCUAAUAAAGAAGGCUGAUGACGGUACCAUAAGAAUAAGCACCGGCGGCUGGCACGUAGUUAGCCGGUGCUUAUUC
rnacentral:rRNA from 1 species